GCCCCGGCUUCUGCCAGAGAGAUUCUCCUGAAGCAGCUGCUGUAGGAGCUCAGUGCCUUUCCCGCCUGUGAAAAAUGCGUAUUUUAUGAUUGGCUUUUCACAGAUGUUACAAUGAAUGUUAUAUGUGUAAUGUUAGACAGCAAUGAGAUACUUGCUUCGAAGAACACCUAAAUCUUCCAAAGAAAAGGAAUUUAUGGUUUUCUUAUCAGAAGAAGCUAAUUUCUUCAGGCCUUGCUUGAACACAUGUUGCUGCUGUUACCAAAGAAAUUGUUCCAGCCCAGUUUGCUGUGCAGCAGGAUGGAAUCUUGCACUGGCAUAAGGGAGAAAAUACAUGAGUGGGACACUAUUCCUAGAGAAUCUUAAAUUUAUGCACUAUAAAGUAAUUAUAUUAAAAAGGAAGAAGAUAGAUUUUCUUGUGUUAAGACUCCUGAACUUGAUAUUUUAAUUGCAUCUUUGUAAAGCAGCCUCUGAAUAAUCACAGUGACUUUCCUCCAAAAAUGAAAAUGACAUGCUGUUUUGAAAAAUGCAUUUAAAAAAAUACAGUUUAGGAAUACAGUUUAGUAAAAGAGCAUGUCAUGCAUGUAUUAAAUAUAUGUUACUAUGG